AUUGAACGCUGGCGGAAUGCUUUACACAUGCAAGUCGAACGGUAGAGGGGGCAACCCCUCGAGAGUGGCGAACGGGUGAGUAAUAUAUCGGAACGUGCCCAGUCGUGGGGGAUAACGUAGCGAAAGUUACGCUAAUACCGCAUACGAUCUAAGGAUGAAAGCGGGGGAUCGCAAGACCUCGCGCGAUUGGAGCGGCCGAUAUCAGAUUAGGUAGUUGGUGGGGUAAAGGCUCACCAAGCCAACGAUCUGUAGCUGGUCUGAGAGGACGACCAGCCAAACUGGAACUGAGACACGGUCCAGACUCCUACGGGAGGCAGCAGUGGGGAAUUUUGGACAAUGGACGCAAGUCUGAUCCAGCCAUUCCGCGUGCAGGAUGAAGGCCCUCGGGUUGUAAACUGCUUUUGUACGGAACGAAAAGGCUCUGGUUAAUACCUGGGGCUCAUGACGGUACCGUAAGAAUAAGCACCGGCUAACUACGUGCCAGCAGCCGCCGCAG
rnacentral:rRNA from 1 species